UCAUUUGUACCCUCCAGCCCUGCUGGGUGUUGGGCGUUUGUUCCGCUGCACGCGUGAACUCGCCUCAAAUGCAUUGGCAGCCCGCCGUCCCGUGUGGGAGCGCAGCACAUUUUGCGCUCUCCACUGCUGAUGGUGGCAUCCACAAAGUCUACCAUUUUACGCUUGACCUCGGAUCAGGUAGGGAUACCCGCUGAACUUAA
rnacentral:misc_RNA from 1 species